rnacentral:lncRNA from 1 species
CCUGUAUGGACCUUUUAGGAAAUGAAAAUACCAAAGAGUAAAAUGUACAUAAGGAGUAUCCCCACACUGUACAGCAAUAGUAAAUAAUGGAAUUCUGGUCUGGUUAGCAGAAACUUUGGAUUUUAUUGGCUGUGUAAACUUCAACAAAUCAUUUCAUUUUUAUAUUGAAUUUGUUGCUUUGAGACUGCUUUUAUUUUCCAUUUAGAUUUAGUUAAAUGUUAAUUAUUAAAUCAAGGCCCAGGUUGUAGAUCCGUAUAAAAUUUUAGACAUUUAUGUACCCCAAUCAAUGUGGUGGGAACUCUGUUUUCCUACCCACAUGCUAUAAUAUGGAUCUUGUUUCCCCCUUCCCCAAAGGCCCAUGUUUAGAGGCUUGUUCCCUUGAGUGGCACUACCAGAAGUUUGUAGAAGCUGUCAGAGGAAAGAAGCCAGUAAUUGUUAACUCAGAACACCCAAGGAAAUCAUGGUUUUAAACAUUUAGAGGAAAUCACAAAAGCUUGAAGAGCUUUCCCCCAGGGCACCUUGGAAGAAUCCAUGCCUCUAAAAUAGGAAACAUUUAUCAAGCCUUUGAGUACAGAAGUGUUUCAGGCUACAAUGUCAGCAGAACUAGACUAAACCAACUUUCUGGCCUAAUAGCCACUGUGCUACUUCUGUCAACAUGACUUGCUUUUCUGUAAAAAUGUGUAUAUAUACAUAUAUAUGUAUGUGAAUCAGUAUUCAGAAAAUGAAUGGAAAAGAAGAGGA